rnacentral:lncRNA from 1 species
ACUUUGCUGAAGUGAACCCAAAGUUCAACCCUCCGGGAGAGUCCUUGCAACGAUUCGGCCACUCAGUUCUGGAGCCGUCGGCACCACAUUCUAAGUUGCCGUGGACUCCACUGGCAUCUGCGUGACUAUCUCCGGCCGGUGUGCAUAGGCGCCCGUCGGGUCGGGGGCUGAGGACCUUGGACAGGGCGGCCACACCCCUCUCCUACAGCAGCACCUCUGUCCAUUCUGCGCAGGCGCCUCUGGGGUCAGGGACGGAGGAACCCGGGCGAGUAGCCACGCUCCUUCACAGGUGUCUUCCCUCGACCGCUACUUUCGCCCCUGGCAGCCAAACACAGGAACGCUGAAAAACAGGCUGAGAGGUGGAUUUGAGGAAUUACAUCGUUCACUUAGAGUUGAACUGGAGAAGCAUUCUUGUACGUCCUUAUACCUCCCUGCACUCUCAUCCUAACACUGUUAGGAUACAAAAGUACGGGACAGACCUACUCGCAAGAAAUACUGUUAGUGUUAAAUAUUCUGAUUUUUAACUACAGCAAAAAUCAUACUGUUCAAGUCAUAUCCCUGAGCGUUGUGAGAUGAGGGCCAAAGAUCAAAGCCUCUGGUAUUUAUUUGGUUACAGUAUUUCAUAUAUUGAAGAAAGUAAGGGCAAAUGUUUGCCUGUGUUGCGUUAAAACGGCACGUUGAAUGAGGAAUAUGGCACAUUUACCAAUAACUGGAGUUUUGCUUUUUCUCCUUCCUGUGGUCGUUUUACCCCUUCCUGUAACAAUAUUUUGAAGUAAGAACCUACUAAAAAUCAGUAAUUGAGAAAAAUUUUAAUUGGUAUCCAAUUUUCUGAUGUACCAAAAGAAAAUAGUGUGAAAUCAUAUACGAGUUUCUGGUAUUGCUGAGCCAAAAACAGAAAAAGGAACAGAAAGUUAAGCCCACAGGAAUUAUUGCUAACCCUAUCUUUUUCUGUGUUUGUGGUUAUAAUUCUUUUCUUUCACAGCUUUUGAAAAGUAAUAGAAACACUGUUCUUUCCCCCU